UACAUUUACACUUUUAACAAACACAUAUUUUACAUACACUCAUUCAAAAUUACUUCAGACAUUUCCACCUGCUUUCAGCCACUCACUAACCGAGUACUAUUUGUCGUUUCAAGCAUUUACGUCUCGCCAGCUGUGUCAGGUCACACGCUGCGUCUAGUCAGCGCGUGUCCUUGCGUCGCGUCGUAUUGUCGUUGAAUAUUAUUGGCACACUUUUAUUUAAGCGAGCGAAUAUUUGAGCGAAUUCAAGCUUCCAACAAAAUCCCACACCUCGCGUACACCAGCAAACACACCUGUAGUCAAUAGGCGGUCAUGAGUUUGGGGCAUAAAUCUUCUGUGGAUAAUAAUAUAAAGUCAUAGCUAUCUAAAUGAAACUUUCUUCCGGGUCAUCCUCUUGUAACAUUUAUGCAGUGCAAGUUGCAGUAAGAGCAUGUCAAAAGCAGUGGCAGCAGCCGCAUCUCAAUUUCGGCGACACCAGCGUCGCAUCGCUGGACAAUAAAGAUGGGCAGUGGUCCGACUGGUCGUAGUGGUCAA